rnacentral:rRNA from 1 species
GUGCCAGCCGCCGCGGUAAUACCGGCAGCCCGAGUGAUGGCCGAUAUUAUUGGGCCUAAAGCGUCCGUAGCUGGCCGAACAAGUCCGUCGGGAAAUCCAUCAGCCCAACUGAUGGGCGUCCGGCGGAAACUGCACGGCUUGGGACCGGAAGGCUCGAAGGGUACGUUCGGGGUAGGAGUGAAAUCCCAUAAUCCCGCACGGACCACCGAUGGCGAAAGCACUUCGAGAAAACGGAUCCGACAGUGAGGGACGAAAGCCAGGGUCUCCAACCGGAUUAGAAACCUCUGUAGUCU